UACGUAGGGGGCGAGCGUUGUCCGGAUUUAUUGGGCGUAAAGAGCGUGUAGGCGGCCAGGUAGGUCUGCUGUGAAAACUCGAGGCUCAACCUCGAGACGUCGGCGGAAACCAUCUGGCUAGAGUCCGGAAGAGGAGAGUGGAAUUCCUGGUGUAGCGGUGAAAUGCGCAGAUAUCAGGAAGAACACCCGCGGCGAAGGCGGCUCUCUGGGACGGUACUGACGCUGAGACGCGAAAGCGUGGGGAGCGAACAGG
rnacentral:rRNA from 1 species